UCGGGAGGACGCUUGCCACUUUGUGGUUCAUGACUGGGGUGAAGUCGUAACAAGGUAGCGCUAGGGGAACCUGGCGCUGGAUCACCUCCUUA
rnacentral:ncRNA from 1 species